AGUGAUGAGGAGAAGUGAAAGUGAAAGAAGUCUCCUGACUAUUUAAAGAGGAAGUGUGGACUCUCCGAAGUGUUAGUGGAUCGACAGCAGAGGAAGCAGCUCUCUGAGGAGUCGCUUUGUCACCCUGAGCAGACCCGAUCAGACCUGAGCAGACCUGAGCCCCAGUCUACUCUCGUUUUGGUGGGUGGGAUUGUAACGGAACCCAUAAUGCAGCUGUGAUCGUGAGCUUCAGCUGGUUAUGGGCUCCGUUUCCAUCCCACAGUGCACAGGACAUCCUGAGCAGAUGGGCUGACUGACUCAUCACUGAAGACACCGAGAGGAGCGUCCUUCUUCCUCCCAAACACCAUCAUCAUCAUCAUCAUCAUUUACUCACUUUUAUCACUCUUCUCUCUGAAAAUGGAAGCGUGUUCAUUCAGUUGAAAUCUUUAUUGUUUCAUAAACAAACAGUAAAACACAUGUAACAGUUGAGAACAGUAUAAAAGUAUGUACAGUAAAAUGCACAUCCAGCUGACUGAGCCACAGAGUAGAAAACAAAAGGUGAGAAGAAGAAACGUAGAGUUCUUCUGCUCGCUGAUUCAGACGAUCAGUCAGAGUGAGAUCAGUUUUGUUUCACUGAAAUGAAGAUGAAAAGUGAAAGUGACGUGCAUGAGGCCUGAGUGUAACGCUGUGUUGUCUAUUUGAAAUAAUCUCCUGGAGUGUUGUGACUGGAGCGAAGGUUGUCUGGUGUUUCUCCUCAAUGACACGUUUUCUCCCGGAUUGCUGACGACAGAGAUCGCAACCGGGAAUUUCGUGUCAGCCAAGAAGGACACCGAGAGCAGCGAUCUCUUUCAAACCAUCGGUUUGUUCUUUGUGGAAGAAUCUCUAAACAGACGUUUCUAAUAAAGCUCAGAGUUUAACCGCA